CAAUAGCGUAUAUUAAAGUUGUUGCAGUUAAAAAGCUCGUAGUUGGAUUUCUGGUAGGAGUGACCGUUCCGAACUUGAUUGUUCGUGUAUUGUGUUUUCUCCAGCCAUCCUUGUGGAGAACUUUUCUUGCAUUAAUUUGUAGGGAUUGGGACCCGCAUCGUUUACUGUGAAAAAAUUAGAGUGUUUAAAGCAGGCAAUCGCUUGAAUACAUUAGCAUGGAAUAAUAAGAUAGGACUUUGGUACUAUUUUGUUGGUUUGCAUACCAAAUUAAUGAUCAACAGGAACAGUUUGAGGAUAUUCGUAUGAACAUGUCAGAGGUGAAAUUCUUGGAUUUUGAUCAGACGAACUACUGCGAAAGCAUUUAUCAAGGAUGUUUUUAUUAA
rnacentral:rRNA from 1 species